rnacentral:rRNA from 1 species
CCUACGGGAGGCUGCAGUGGGGAAUCUUAGACAAUGGGGGCAACCCUGAUCUAGCCAUGCCGCGUGAGUGACGAAGGCCCUAGGGUCGUAAAGCUCUUUCGCCAGGGAAGAUAAUGACGGUACCUGGUAAAGAAGUCCCGGCUAACUCCGUGCCAGCAGCCGCGGUAAUACGGAGGGGACUAGCGUUGUUCGGAAUUACUGGGCGUAAAGCGCACGUAGGCGGAUUGAAAAGUAUGGGGUGAAAUCCCAGGGCUCAACCCUGGAACUGCCUCAUAAACUAUCAGUCUAGAGUUCGAGAGAGGUGAGUGGAAUUCCGAGUGUAGAGGUGAAAUUCGUAGAUAUUCGGAGGAACACCAGUGGCGAAGGCGGCUCACUGGCUCGAUACUGACGCUGAGGUGCGAAAGCGUGGGGAGCAAACAGGAUUAGAUACCCCUGUAGUC